UACGUAGGGUGCAAGCGUUGUCCGGAUUUAUUGGGCGUAAAGAGCGUGUAGGCGGUUUGGUAGGUCCGCUGUGAAAACUCGAGGCUCAACCUCGAGACGCCGGUGGAAACCAUCAGGCUAGAGUCCGGAAGAGGAGAGUGGAAUUCCUGGUGUAGCGGUGAAAUGCGCAGAUAUCAGGAAGAACACCCGUGGCUAAGGCGGCUCUCUAGUACGGUACUGACGCUGAGACGCGAAAGCGUGGGGAGCGAACAGG
rnacentral:rRNA from 1 species